AAGACUAUAGACCUGCGGAGUACCUGCGGAAGGAUCAUUACAGAAAUAAACUUGAUGGAUUGUUGCUGGCUCACAGAGUAUCGUGCACGUCCGUCAUUUUUAUCUUUCCACCAUGUGCACUCCGCAUAGGUCUGAACUUGCUCACAAAGGCGACUUUGUGUCUUUGGGAAUUGCAGAUUCACGUCUGCUCUCUCCCUAUCUUUCAGGCUCUGUGUUUUUUUCUUACACACACCAUGUAUG
rnacentral:misc_RNA from 1 species